rnacentral:rRNA from 1 species
UAGAGGAAGUAAAAGUCGUAACAAGGUCUCCGUUGGUGAACCAGCGGAGGGAUCAUUACUGAGUUUACGCUCUACAACCCUUUGUGAACAUACCUAUAACUGUUGCUUCGGCGGGUAGGGUCUCCGCGACCCUCCCGGCCUCCCGCCCCCGGGCGGGUCGGCGCCCGCCGGAGGAUAACCAAACUCUGAUUUAACGACGUUUCUUCUGAGUGGUACAAGCAAAUAAUCAAAACUUUUAACAACGGAUCUCUUGGUUCUGGCAUCGAUGAAGAACGCAGCGAAAUGCGAUAAGUAAUGUGAAUUGCAGAAUUCAGUGAAUCAUCGAAUCUUUGAACGCACAUUGCGCCCGCCAGCAUUCUGGCGGGCAUGCCUGUUCGAGCGUCAUUUCAACCCUCAAGCUCUGCUUGGUGUUGGGGCCCUACAGCCGAUGUAGGCCCUCAAAGGUAGUGGCGGACCCUCCCGGAGCCUCCUUUGCGUAGUAACUUUACGUCUCGCACUGGGAUCCGGAGGGACUCUUGCCGUAAAACCUCCAAUUUUCCAAAGGUUGACCUCGGAUCAGGUAGGAAUACCCGCUGAACUUAAGCAUAUCAAUA